rnacentral:lncRNA from 1 species
ACUCAUGAUUUCCUUGAAAUUGAUCUUGCUGACAUUGACCCUCCAAUAUUCAUAGUAACAUCAGCCUGGUUUUGGACGUCCAUAAUAGAGGGCACUGUCGCUAAAGAAAGGGAAUAUCUUUUUAAUAAUGGACUACGAUCAAGUUAUAGUCAAAAUUGUGUCACUCCAUCCGCGCCUUUGCUAGAAGAAAAUGGUCUCUUAAACAACAAUAAUCGCUGUAGUCAAAAUCUAUUCACAAAUUCGCCCCCAAACAAAAAGACUUGCAAGUUAUUGGAGCUGGUUCAAACUGAAGAAAAUUAUG